UACGGGGGGGGGCAAGCGUUGUUCGGAAUCACUGGGCAUAAAGCGCACGUAGGCGGCCAUAUAAGUCGGGUGUGAAAGCCCUCGGCUCAACCGAGGAACUGCGCCCGAUACUGCAUGGCUUGAGGUCCGGAGGGGAGAGUGGAAUUCCCGGUGGAGCGGUGAAAUGCGUAGAGAUCGGGAAGAACGCCGGCGGCGAAAGCGACUCUCUGGUCGGAAUCUGACGCUGAGGUGCGAAAGCUAGGGGAGCAAACGGG
rnacentral:rRNA from 1 species